UGGGGAAUCUUGCGCAAUGCGCGAAAGCGUGACGCAGCAACGCCGCGUGAGGGAAGACGGCCUUCGGGUUGUAAACCUCUUUCAGGAGGGACGAAGGUUCAGGCGCGAACAGCGUCCUGGACUGACGGUACCUCCAGAAGAAGCCCCGGCUAACUACGUGCCAGCAGCCGCGGUAAUACGUAGGGGGCAAGCGUUGUCCGGAAUCAUUGGGCGUAAAGAGCGCGUAGGCGGCCCGGUAAGUCCGCUCUGAAAGUCAAAGGCUCAACCUUUGAAAGCGGGUGGAUACUGCCGGGCUAGAGUCCGGAAGAGGCGAGUGGAAUUCCUGGUGUAGCGGUGGAAUGCGCAGAUAUCAGGAGGAACACCAAACGGCGAAGGCAGCUCGCUAGGACGGUACUGACGCUGAGGCGCGAAAGCGUGGGGAUCGAACAGGAUUAGAUACCCUGGUAGUCCACGCCGUAAACGAUGGGCAUUAGGUGUGGGAGGU
rnacentral:rRNA from 1 species